rnacentral:misc_RNA from 1 species
CUCAUGGAAGAUGAAUGGGAAAUAGCAAGAAGGGAAAGGAAGAAAGUUAAGCCAUUAAAUGGUAUUGUAAUCUUGAAGGAACAAGCAUGGGAAAUUUGGAGAAGAAAAAGGAAGAUAGUUAACUCUGCCAAUUAAGAGUUUAUAUUUCCAGCUGGAAAUGGGAAAGUACCUGAAAUUUUCAGCCAAGCUUUAUGGGCUAUUUCAGCUGAUGAAGGAGGCUACUUACAAAUACAGAACCUUUAUGCAGGCUCAUUUUCCAGACUUUGAGCAUUCCUAGGGACAAGAAUGCAUACAUGAUGGGGGUAUUGUUACAUAUACGAAUCUAGAAGCAGUUAAGAAGGGAGUUAUAUUCUGUUCAGAUGCCUGGAUAUAGUUAGAGAUCAGUUAGGGAAGAAAGAGAUUGGCAGGAACAGUUAAUUCCAGCUGGUCUUUCGAGGGAAUUGGUCUAUAGAAGAGCUGGAAUAGCUCCAAGGUUCUCAUUCUUAAAUUCUAAUCAAUAAAGAUCUAUUUUCUCUCUCUCUAAAUUCUUCUUUCUCUUCUUCUAUUCUUUCUCCCCUUUCUUUCUCUAUUUCUUCGCUAAUUUCUAUUCUUUCUGUGAUGAAGAAUCUGAUUACAUAACAUACUGCUCUUGCCUCACCCCUUGGAUCCUCCAUAAGUUGUCUGUAAAGUCUAAAUCUCCAUUAAAUUAAUAUAAAAGUAAGUGUUUGACAUGAAUUAUUAUGUUUUCCUGCCUAAUGAAUACUGCUAUAUCUAUUUUACAGAGACACUAAACCAGAAGAGUUUAGAAAUCAAGUCAAUACAUAAUUUAUGCAUAUGUUUGAGUAAAAUAACUCCAUAUCUAUUCUUUGCGACUCCCUUACGGAUCAUUCAGAUCUACUAGGCUAAGCUGUAUGGCAUGCAGAUACAACAGCAGACUUGCAACGAUUUUAGAUAAACAUAUGGUAGCCCAUGAGAAGCAGCUUACUUUUUUUUUUCUCCAUUUAACGCGCUAAUAUGAAACAAAUUGCAGAAAACAAAGGUAAGAAUCUUGAAUGACAAACGCAGAACUAUCCAAUCUGUCCCAACUCCCAAUACGUCCUACAAAAUUAACCUCAUAUGGCUCAUAACACUUGAUUAACAAUAAAUCUAGCUGCAAUUAACACCCAAGAGUGGUAUCCAUUAGUUUUGCCCACAACGUUGCUCUAAAAAUACAAUUAUGAUAAACAGAAACAGCAGUAGUUCAAAAGUAACUUUUCGUUUCCAGAUCCCAAAAGAUUGAAGAAUAUAUUGGACAGUAAACUAUGACUAGUCUCUCCUCUUAAUUUCGCUUAUUCACAAAGUGAAAUUCUACCCAACGGAACAGAACAUAAUAUGUCAAAGAACUCAAUAACCCAUUUCCUUGCACACAUAAAGCAUAAUUAAUCAACGAACACACAACCCAUUUGGUAAAACAUUAAAAUUCACUUCAUUUCUUCAUUUGAUCACCAACCAAUCACAAAAUAAAUGCAUAAACAAACCCAAUGGAAAAUAUGAUAAUUUUACCUGCAAAAGCAAGAACAGACACGA